rnacentral:rRNA from 1 species
GACGAACGCUGGCGGCGUGCCUAACACAUGCAAGUCGAACGAGAUCCAUGGGAGCUUGCUCCCGGAAGAUCUAGUGGCGAACGGGUGAGUAACACGUGAGAAACCUGCCCUGGAGUGGGGAAUAACUCGGGGAAACUCGAGCUAAUACCGCAUACCCUCGGAUGGUCGCAUGGCCGACUGAGGAAAGAUUUAUCGCUCUAGGAGGGUCUCGCGGCCUAUCAGCUAGUUGGUGGGGUAACGGCCUACCAAGGCAACGACGGGUAGCUGGUUUGAGAGAACGAUCAGCCACACUGGGACUGAGACACGGCCCAGACUCCUACGGAGGCAGCAGUGGGGAAUCUUGCGCAAUGGGCGAAAGCCUGACGCAGCAACGCCGCGUGCGGGAUGACGGCCUC